rnacentral:lncRNA from 1 species
GGCCUUUCCUUCAUAUAGGUCCUUUUCCAUGAUUAGUUGAUGGUUAAAUAUGAGUAUUGAGGACCGUCAACAAGCUUCCCCAAGGUUAACCUUUGCUCGUCCCUGAGCAAAGCUAAAAUUAGCAAGAAAACAGGGGUUACUUUUAUGCCUCUUACUACAGGGUUUUUAAGUUAUCACUAAGGUCUUAAGUGAUUGAAAAAUAGAACGAUCAAGUCAAGCACUAUGUCUCAAGUUCUUCUGUCUUACCUUUGUUCUGGAGUUUUUUGUAAGUUUCCAAAAUAAAACUGAGGCAUUUGCCAUCUUCUAGAAAGAUAUAUAAGUAGAGCUUUAAAAGUUUUAGCAUAUUUACUUUGUAUUUUGCUAUGUCAAUGCUCGGAGCAAGGGAGAGGAAUGUCAUACUCCUAGAUCAAGACCUUUGACCUUUUUUAAAAGUUUGUCAUCUCUUACUGGCAUAUUGCUUAUUAGAGGGACCAUGGGCUAUCAUUUAUUUCUUUCUUUUUUUCUAUUCUCUCUCUUUUUUUCAAGUGGGCACCAAGUACCCCUAAGUCUACUAUCGGACACGUGUCCAUUUUUUCCACUCAGGUGGGUAUCUUUGUACCCCUAAUUCUACUUCGGACACUUGUCCAUUUUUACCUCUCGUCUCACUCUUUUUUUGAAUCAAAUUUUUGCAUAGUCCCAUGCCUCUAACGCAAUAUUACUUCGAAAGAGUGAUCUUUUAUAUUUUUAAAACAAAAAGAUCUUGAUCUUUGGAGCAUGAUAAUUCUCUCAACAGAAACUACAAGAAUUAACAAUGGAUUGAACAAAGCAAGUGCCCAAAGUUUUAAUAUUUAUAUCUUAUAAGACUCUAGGUAUUAUGUCAAACAGGAUCUCAUUUUUUUGAAUUUUUAGAUUUUCAAAAGAUAAAAUCUCCAGAACUCUAGGGAAACUUGGAACAAGUCAAAUAGUAGCUCCGACCUUCUCAUAUCAUGUUUGUCAAUUACCUAGACUUGGAUCAAACUUUAUUUUUAUUUUCUUUAAAACAUAGGAUUACACAAAACUAUUGUAUAUUACUCAAAAGAAAAACUUUGUUUGGUUUCAUGGUUAUGCAUUUUUUUAUUUAUUUCUGAAUACUAGUAAAUAAAACCAAGAAAGAAAAGUAAUACUUAUCUAGAUACACGUGGGGGUGCCUCCCCCGAGCUGGAUGUUGACAUAGUCGUUCACUCUUGUGGCCUGCAUGUUCAAUCUCAGUCUUCUUAAACCUCAAAAUCCUACACAACCCAAAUAGACAACAAAUCUCGUGGAGCAUGUUAAGGCUUAGGUAAUUGUCUAGAGCUUAUUAGAGCUAAAUGUGAGAAUUCUAUGAACUCAAUCAUAUCAAGUUCCUCUACCAGGUUGAUUCGUAGCUCGAGAUAGAUUUUCAAGCAUUGACCAUUUACCUUAAAAGUGUUACCUAUGUCAUCUUGGAUGGUAAUGGCUCCAUGAGUUGAAGUGUCAAUAACCUUGUAUGGUCCAUCCCACUUACUUCGUAGCUUACCAUG